CAAAGGCUUGGUCCCGGCUUUUCUGUCAGCUCUAACUAAAUUUAUACAUGCAAGUUUCCGCACCCCUGUGAGAAUGCCCUAGAUAACCUGCCCGGAAUUUAGGAGCUGGUAUCAGGCACCCUAUUUUUAGCCCAAGACGCCUUGCUUAGCCACACCCCCAAGGGAAUUCAGCAGUAAUAAAUAUUAAGCCAUAAGUGAAAACUUGACUUAGUUAAAGUUUAAAGGGCCGGUAAAACUCGUGCCAGCCACCGCGGUUAUACGAGAGGCCCAAGUUGACAGCUCAACGGCGUAAAGCGUGGUUAAGUAACCCCCCCCCACUAGGGCCAAACACCCACAAAGCUGUUAUACGCAUGUUGAGGAUUUGAAGCACCCCCACAAAAGUGGCCCUAACCCCACACUGACCCCACGAAAGCUACAAAACAAACUGGGAUUAGAUACCCCACUAUG
rnacentral:rRNA from 1 species